rfam:Eubacterium sp. CAG:251 genomic scaffold, scf9
GCUUUAUCAAGAGUGGUUGAGGGACAGGCCCUGUGAAACCACAGCAACCUGCAUUUGUAAGGUGCUAAUACCUGCGGCUUACCGAGUGAUGAUAG